rnacentral:rRNA from 1 species
UUUUUGGAGAGUUUGAUUCUGGCUCAGAACGAACGCUGGCGGCGUGGAUAAGACAUGCAAGUCGAACGGGAUCAUUGAGGUAGCAAUAUCGCGAUGGUCUAGUGGCGAACGGGUGCGUAACACGUGGAUACAUUCCGGGAAGCGGGGGAUAGCCCAGGGAAACUUGGAUU